rnacentral:rRNA from 1 species
UACAUGUGGGGCAAGCGUUGUUCGGAAUUACUGGGCAUAAAGGGUGCGUAGGCGGGUCGUUAAGUCAGGGGUGAAAUCCUGGAGCUCAACUCCAGAACUGCCCUUGAUACUGGCGAUCUCGAGUUCGGGAGAGGUGAGUGGAACUGCGAGUGUAGAGGUGAAAUUCGUAGAUAUUCGCAAGAACACCAGUGGCGAAGGCGGCUCACUGGCCCGAUACUGACGCUGAGGUGCGAAAGCGUGGGGAGCAAACAGG